UCCCUGGUGGUUCACUUGGUAAAAGAAUCUGCCUGCCAUGCAGGAGACCCAGGUUCGAUCCCUGGCUUGGGAA
rfam:Ovis aries breed Texel chromosome 3, whole genome shotgun sequence.